CAGUCGCCGCGGUAAGACAGAGGAUGCAAGCGUUAUCCGGAAUGAUUGGGCGUAAAGCGUCUGUAGGUGGCUUUUCAAGUCCGCCGUCAAAUCCCAGGGCUCAACCCUGGACAGGCGAUGGAAACUACCAAGCUAGAGUACGGUAGGGGCAGAGGGAAUUUCCGGUGUAGCGGUAAAAUGCGUAGAUCUCGAGAGGAACACCAAUGGCGAAGGCAGCUUCUUGGUCCAUUCCUGACGUUCAUACACGAAAGCGUGGGUAGCAAACAGGAUUAGAUACCCGGGUAGUCCCUGUCUCUUAUAC
rnacentral:rRNA from 1 species